GAUGAACGCUGGCGGCGUGCCUAAUACAUGCAAGUCGAGCGAACAGACGAGGAGCUUGCUCCUCUGACGUUAGCGGCGGACGGGUGAGUAACACGUGGAUAACCUACCUAUAAGACUGGGAUAACUUCGGGAAACCGGAGCUAAUACCGGAUAAUAUAUUGAACCGCAUGGUUCAAUAGUGAAAGACGGCUUUGCUGUCACUUAUAGAUGGAUCCGCGCGGCAUUAGCUAGUUGGUAAGGUAACGGCUUACCAAGGCAACGAUGCGUAGCCGACCUGAGAGGGGGAUCGGCCACACUGGAACUGAGACACGGUCCAGACUCCGACGGGAGGCAGCAGUAGGGAAUCUGCCGCAAUGGGCGAAAGCCUGACGGAGCAACGCCGCGUGAGUGAUGAAGGUCUUCGGAUCGUAAAACUCUGUUAUGAGGGAAGAACAAGUGUGUAAGUAACUAUGCACGUCUUGACGGUACCUAAUCAGAAAGCCACGGCUAACUACGU
rnacentral:rRNA from 1 species